AUUGAACGCUGGCGGCAGGCCUAACACAUGCAAGUCGAGCGGAUGAAGGGAGCUUGCUCCUGGAUUCAGCGGCGGACGGGUGAGUAAUGCCUAGGAAUCUGCCUGGUAGUGGGGGAUAACGUCCGGAAACGGGCGCUAAUACCGCAUACGUCCUGAGGGAGAAAGUGGGGGAUCUUCGGACCUCACGCUAUCAGAUGAGCCUAGGUCGGAUUAGCUAGUUGGUGGGGUAAAGGCCUACCAAGGCGACGAUCCGUAACUGGUCUGAGGGGAUGAGCAGUCACACUGGAACUGAGACACGGUCCAGACUCCUACGGGAGGCAGCAGUGGGGAAUAUUGGACAAUGGGCGAAAGCCUGAUCCAGCCAUGCCGCGUGUGUGAAGAAGGUCUUCGGAUUGUAAAGCACUUUAGGUUGGGAGGAAGGGCAGUACGUUAAUACCUUGCUGUUUUGACGGUACCAACAGAAUAAGCACCGGCUAACUUCGUG
rnacentral:rRNA from 1 species